UACGAAGGGGGCUAGCGUUGCUCGGAAUCACUGGGCGUAAAGCGCACGUAGGUGGGUCGUUAAGUCGGGGGUGAAAUCUCCCGGCUCAACCGGGAGGGUGCGCCGAAAACUGGGAGACUAGGGUGCGGGAUGGGAGAGUAGAAUUCCUGGUGUAGCGGUGAAAUGCGUAGAUAUCAGGAGGAAUACCGGUGGUGUAGACGGCUCUCUGGACCGC
rnacentral:rRNA from 1 species